rnacentral:rRNA from 1 species
UAGGGAAUCUUCGGCAAUGGACGAAAGUCUGACCGAGCAACGCCGCGUGAGUGAAGAAGGUUUUCGGAUCGUAAAACUCUGUUGUUAGAGAAGAACAAGGACGUUAGUAACUGAACGUCCCCUGACGGUAUCUAACCAGAAAGCCACGGCUAACUACGUGCCAGCAGCCGCGGUAAUACGUAGGUGGCAAGCGUUGUCCGGAUUUAUUGUGCGUAAAGCGAGCGCAGGCGGUUUCUUAAGUCUGAUGUGAAAGCCCCCGGCUCAACCGGGGAGGGUCAUUGGAAACUGGGAGACUUGAGUGCAGAAGAGGAGAGUGGAAUUCCAUGUGUAGCGGUGAAAUGCGUAGAUAUAUGGAGGAACACCAGUGGCGAAGGCGGCUCUUUGGUCUGUAACUGACGCUGAGGCUCGAAAGCGUGGGGAGCAAACAGG